rnacentral:rRNA from 1 species
AUGGAGCCGACCUUGAAAUACCACCCUUUAAUGUUUGAUGUUCUAACGUGGACCCGUGAUCCGGGUUGCGGACAGUGUCUGGUGGGUAGUUUGACUGGGGCGGUCUCCUCCUAAAGAGUAACGGAGGAGCACGAAGGUUGGCUAAUCCUGGUCGGACAUCAGGAGGUUAGUGCAAUGGCAUAAGCCAGCUUGACUGCGAGCGUGACGGCGCGAGCAGGUGCGAAAGCAGGUCAUAGUGAUCCGGUGGUUCUGAAUGGAAGGGCCAUCGCUCAACGGAUAAAAGGUACUCCGGGGAUAACAGGCUGAUACCGCCCAAGAGUUCAUAUCGACGGCGGUGUUUGGCACCUCGAUGUCGGCUCAUCACAUCCUGGGGCUGAAGUAGGUCCCAAGGGUAUGGCUGUUCGCCAUUUAAAGUGGUACGCGAGCUGGGUUUAGAACGUCGUGAGACAGUUCGGUCCCUAUCUGCCGUGGGCGCUGGAGAACUGAGGGGGGCUGCUCCUAGUACGAGAGGACCGGAGUGGACGCAUCACUGGUGUUCGGGUUGUCAUGCCAAUGGCACUGCCCGGUAGCUAAAUGCGGAAGAGAUAAGUGCUGAAAGCAUCUAAGCACGAAACUUGCCCCGAGAUGAGUUCUCCCUGACCCUUUAAGGGUCCUGAAGGAACGUUGAAGACGACGACGUUGAUAGGCCGGGUGUGUAAGCGCAGCGAUGCGUUGAGCUAACCGGUACUAAUGAACCGUGAGG